AGGAUCUCUGAGCAGGGGCAGCUCCAAGAUUUCCAUAAAGAGGAGCCUGGUUGAAAGUGGAUGCUGCUACCAGAGGCUCAUCUUGAAGCUUAAUUUGCAUAUUAUUUGAAUAUCUAUUUAUUGGGGCAGCUUAAGGAUUAUGAGUGAUUUUUAAUUUCUUAUUUUGCUUUCCUAGCCAUGUUUUCUACCGUGGAAAUAUUUUAUUUUCGUAAACAGAAAAAAGUAAUUAUGAUUCUUUUUAAAAAAAAGAACUCAUCUGGAGGCAGGGCAAGCCAGAGGCCCCUAACGGCUGCUAGUUUUUCAACAUGCCUCAGAGAAGUGUAGGUGCCAAGAAGCAGGGAUCAGCACUUCAGGGAAAGCCAUUGGCCCAGCUAAAGAAAGAAGGUGCUGUUUCCAGGGGAGGCAGAGGCCCUGGGAUUAAGGAGAGGGGGUAGGAAUAAGGCCUCUGGGUUUUCCAGUUUCUUCUUGGCCAGGGCUGGGCCCAGUGGCCCAUGAAGAGAACAUUUCUUGGCUGCGGGCUGCAGGGUGCAAGUUGGGGUGUAUAAGCAUCAUGGAAAGCAUCUAGUCUAGCAUUUUCCAAACACUUGCCUGGAACUACACACUCAUAUAUGGUCAGAUAAGACAGGGCUGUCUCCAGAGAGCCAUAAACUACAUUAAUGUAGCAAAUCAAAGCUCUGAUAAGUCCUGCAGUAAGGAGACCUGUUUAUAAUUUUGUUUUCUCUGGCACCUUUUAAAAAUCUGUACCGCCUUCCUUCCAUUUCUCAGGUGCCUCGUGAUAUCUUAAAAUGUACUGUUUGGCAAAUACUGAUUUAGUUCAACUCCUCCUAAGACCUAAGGCCAACAGUAAAACUGAAGCCCAGGACAUGGGAGGAUUUGCCCAAGGCUGCACAAUCAGAAGAAAAUGCAGCCAUCCUGACUCGGAACUGUCUCAGCAGGCCUGGCUUUGAAUUUCAGACGUUGCCAUGGAGGACCAGGGGGUCUCAGAUCUGCAGGAGAGAUAUUAUCAUGAUCCCCAUUCUGCAGAUAAGACAACUGAGGCUCAGAACAGUGAGAAGACUUUCUGAGCAGUCUUCCAUCGGGCAGUGUCGGGAUUUGAACCCAGGUCUCAAAGAACAUCUACGAUCUAUGGUGUAUUGGGGCCUUGCUCUGUGCCCAGCAUUUUAAUAACAGCAGCAUCACAGCAAUAACAAUACUGAACCCUUGUCCGCACUUGACCCCCGUCAGCUCAUUUAAUACAACAAUCCUCAUGCACCAGAACCCCGAUUUCCAGAUAAGGAAACACAGCACGGGAAAGAUAAACAUUCUGUGCAUCCUGCUGGUUAGUGUGGCACAGCCACUUUCAGAACUCAGGCCUGGCCACCAGCCAACUCGGAACGCCCUGGCUGAACCCCUCCAUCCGCACAUGGCCCCAGCGUGUCUCCUGGCCCACCACCCCCGGCAGAGCCUCUGAUGUUUACAAUUCUGCCCUGGGAGGCUUUGAAAACUCCCCCUACACGCCUCCUGCCCCGCCAGGGCUUGUAUCCGCCCAGCCUGCCUCGCAAUGGCUUUUAUUGAUUCUCUGGCCUGCCAGCCUGUGCCGGGAACACACUCUUUUUAAUGGAGUGUUAAUUGGGAGGGAAGAGAGAGAAAGCUGUUCCCCUGCCCAGCAGGGACUGAGUCUCCUGUCUCCUCCUCCUUUCUCCCAGGCUGGGAUGUGGCGGCAAGGACCCCAGGCCUGGCGUCCUGGGCAGGCCUAGACUCUUCCUGCUGCUGACUCAUGGCGUGACCUCGGACAAGUUCCGCUUGGGCCUCAGCCUCCUCAGCUGUGAAAUGGGAGCAGACAGCCCUGCUUCUCAGGGCCGGAAUGAGGAUUACUUGGAAGAAGGAAUCUAAGAGUCUUAGUCCAGUUUUUGGUACCUAGUAGGUGCUCAAUAAAUCAUCAAAUCUCUUCUGGCCUCCCAAUUCCCAAGACAGCCGGAGUUUGAAUCCGGGCGGCCUUGGACAAGUUACUUUCAGCUUUCUGUGCCUCAGUUUCCUCAUCUGUGAAAACAGGAGACAAACAGGCCCCACCUCCUCUGGUUGCCUUCACUGAGAUGCUACAGGUAAAGGGCGGAGUGCGGUGCCUAGCAGAGAGUAAAUGUUCAUUCAAGGUCCCAAUUAGUAUCCUCAUAGUGACUGUCAGGCCUCAGCGCCCUUAUCUGGAACAAGGGGCCCCAUUCCUCUUGAAACCUGCGCUGACCAUUAGCUCUAUCGUGGCACAGCACUUAACACACUCUUCUAGGCUGUGCUGUGACACUGUGCCCCAUCUCGUCCUUGUCUUUGUAUUUCUUCUCUAUCUGUUUGACUUACCCUUUCUAUUAAUUUUUUUUUUCUGUCAAAACCUGUGACGUGGUUUCCACUUCCCUGACUGUGCUCUGACUGAUAGAUACAGCCCUCAAAGCCCCCAGCCACUGGGUCAGGUUGAGGUGUCUCCUGGAAGCCAGGGAGAGCACAGGCUUUUCCACAAAGAUAACUUCUGUGGCCUGCAUUCCUGAGCCCUGAAGUCACCUGUGGCACGCUGUCACAGCUCACCCUCUAAGGGAACAAACAUUCUCUUGGCCGUUCCCGGGGCUGAGGCCUACACCCUUCUCCCGGGUUCUUGCUCACUCCUGCCCCUCACUCACCAGACACCUCCACAUAUCCGUCCUUGGUCUUCACCAUCAGCUCCUCUGGCUUAAAGCUGUGCACGUUAACACACACUUUCCAGGGCUCCCCAGGGAAGGGUGGGGGGCUCCUGCCCUGAGCAGGUACCCCGAACCUGGCUGCAGCCGUGGGCCCCCGAGGCACCAUGCCUGACCUCAGGGUUCCAGGCCAUGCUGGGGAGAAUCGAGGCAGGGCCCAGUUGUGCCAAGAGGCAGUCAAGUCGUCCGGGAAGGGGUCCAUGCCAAAGUCAUCAUCCAGCAGGCGCGAGGGGAGGGAUGAGUCUCGGAAGGGGUCUCUGCGCAGGCGGCUUGGGAGGUGGCAGGAGAAGGGCAUCUGACCGUCAGCCAUGGCUGCUGAGCUGGAGGGGAAACGGAGGCUCAGAGAGGGGGAGCCACCUGCCCAAGGUCACACGGCAAGGUGAUGUGGGUGGGUUGGCCCUCCGAGCUUAUUUUUCUGCUUCAGAAAAUGCCGAACCAUCCACUGCCAAGGACAGAGGGUGUGCACCCGGCUGGGAUCCCAGCCCCCAAAGACACUCCAAAGGCUACCACCGGCUGGUCCAGCAGAAUUCCAGAGGGCCCCUCUCCGCUCUGCCUCACCAGAGAUCCGCCAGUCACUGUCCUCCCAGACUGUCCAGGCUCUCAGCCAGAGCCACUGAGAUGUCUAGAGGAGAGUCAGGAGCUUAAUAAACCCAGGGACGCAGGCCUAGAAACUUCUCCUUGCUUCUUCAGGGCUGAGAGCCUUCUAUUUAUUGCUGCUUGGGGCUGGAGGCGGGUUUUUCGAGCGCCUCCUGUCACAGGAGUAUUCGGAGGUGAUGAACCAGCCCCUGAGAAUCCGCUGAGGGAACAGCUGGGCUCCCAGGGGUAGGGGAGGGGCCGAGUUCAGCCAGCCAGUCGGACACUCUCCUCCCCCCCCCCCCCCCUCCCGGCUGGGCUCAGCUCCGCCCCCUCUCCCAGGGCUCGCUCCGGAGCCGCCUCCCCACUCUCAGUGCAAAGGCCGGCUAUUAAUAACCCUCUGCCUGCUGAGGGCUCAGGUCACCCUCGGUAAUACCUUCCCCAGAGCCUGCUGCCUCCUGCAGAAGCAGGGGAGAGGGUUGGGAGCGCAGUGCAUUUGAAGGCAGGUGGCUUUGAGCCGCAAUGCCCACUUACAACCCGGCGUGGACACUUGCCUUCAGUGUCCUCUGAGAGCAGUAACAUUAUUCCCCAGCCACCUGUGAGCUGUCAGUUUUCCCAGCUGUAAAAUGGACCCCAUAGUAGCCACUGCAUGGAUGUGUCAUGAGGAACACAUGAGGUAACCAUCCUUAAAACAUUUAGCAGACUGACACUUUCGCGUAUUCAGUUUGGAGUUCUCCAUUACAUGAUGCUUGCUGUAUGCUGGGUCCUGUUCUGAGUGCUUUCCAAAUAUUAAACCGGCUUCAACGGCACCACCAAUCCCGGGAGCAGUGCCUGCAUGAGGCCGUUUGCUAAAAAUAAUUCUAUGGAGAGCAUAGAUGGUUACUGUCAUUUUUGGCCUCCCCUUAUGCUUCUGUGGCGAGCACAUGCCAACCCGUUGAACCGUCACAACAUCGGGGAUGUUAUCACCACCCCCAUUUUGCAGGGGUCUGGAGCUCUUGUUCCAGGCGUGGGCGCAGACCCUGGUGGCCUGCCGCAUUCAGGCUCCAGAUGGAGAAAGACCCACGUCAGAGUUCCCUCCGUUGGACACCCUAGGAGCCCAGCACAUCUGCAGCAAAUAGGAGAGGUGUAUGCUCGUGUCUUUUUCCAUUCCCUUUCUCAGACCCCCGAUGGAAUUUCCAGCACGUUCGGCUCCACGGGGGCAGGACCCUCGGGUGUCUUGCUCACAGCAGCAUCCCCGGUGCCUGGAAGGGUGCCUGGUGCGUUGUCGGAGCUCGGCAGGUCUUGCCAAGCAGGUGAUGUCCCGUUAGCGACCCAGUGUCACAAUUGCCUGGCUCACGUGUGGCAGACCCUGUACGCAGUAACAGCAUUAGAAUAGGGCUAAAAUUUCCAGAGUGCCUAGAAGGUGCCAGCACCCAGUGGAAUGCUUUCCAAGCGUGCUAUUUAUUCCUCACCACAGCCCCCCUCCCAGAAGUUCAUACCAUCAUCAUCUCCAUCUGACAGAUGAGGACACUGAGGUUCAACACGGGAGGGAACUUGUCCAAGGCCACCAGCUUGUGGGUUCUAAACCCAGCUGUGUCUGAACUUCAAGCCCCGUCCUCUUUCCUUGGCCAAAUGCCCGGGCAAAAACAAGAUGAUUAAUAAAUGAAAUAAAUAAACAACCCACGUGGUCCCUCCCUACCCAAGUCAGUGCCCUCAUAAUCCUACACAGCUAAUGCUUAUUUAUUCAGCUCUAGCUUCCUGUUACUAUUAUGUCCAAAAUUCUUUCCAGAAUGUUCUGAAUAACAGUAAUUCACGAUAGCUACGCUUUCUGUUUUGUGGAGGAAAGUUUUAUUAAUUAUACGGGAAAGGGAAUAUAUGGAAUUAAAUAAUUCGAGUAAACAUAAAGAGGGGGAGAGUAUAGAGAAGAACAGAGAAGGGUUAACACAUCAAAUCAGGUACUCGCAACAUCCAACCUCUGGCUGGGGGAGCCCCUCGGUGAACAGCCCCCUCUGGAGUCCCAACUGAGGGUCCUGGGCAGAAUGUCCUCCCCUCAGGUGAGGCUUCCAACUAACUAUUCCCGCCAGGGCAAUAUAUACACUACCCAUGUGUGAUCUCUGGUUAGUCAUGAAGUUUGCCUAAGUGCAGUCCUGAGCAAGCUGGGUUUUUUCUCUGUGUCUCUUAUCCUAUCUCACAAUCUUAGGAGCCUGGGCCUGUGCACGUUUCUCUUCCCGCCCUGAUCCAUUCCAGGGGACCAGCCUGGUCUGGCUCAAGAAGGUGAGGCAAAUUAAUCCCCCUUGGCGUCAGGAACAGAAGGGCCAAUUCUGAUCCCGAGGCCAGAUACGGAGCACAAGCCAACUAAGCCCCCCAUGACGGUGUAUGUGUGGCUCUGGGCAGAAAUGCAUGACAAGUCUCACAAACACGCUCUAUGCAGAACACAGGGAUCGCUUCCUCUGACCACCUCUGCAAGUAAUAAUAAUAAUAAUACUUAUUUAACAUUUUGUAAUAGUUGUCUUUUGCAUAAACUGAUUUAUUUAAUCCUCAUCCAAAUUGCUUUAAGAUAGGUAUUAUUCUCCCUGUUCACAGACGACAUUAUUGAGGCACCAAUACUGAGGCACAGAGAGGUUAAAUUACUCGCACCAGCUCACACAGCUACAAAGUAGCAGAGCUGAUACUCAAAUCCAGACAGUCUGGCUCCAGAGUCCGUGCUGCACCACCACGUGAGCCUGUGGAUAACAGCUCCCCAAACAACAGAAUAGUAAUGAUCUCCACCAUUGCUGGAGAACUCUUACGUGCCAAGCUCCACUAAAGACCCUACCUUACCUCUGUCAUUCCUUAUGACAACCCUAUGAGAUAGUAGUAUAUUGUUAACUGUUUUCUGUUGAAAACUAAAGGCACAGAGGCAGAUGUGUGCUGAUUGCUAAGCCUGUAUGCUUCGCUGUCCAGUGGGCUAUGCUAUGUGGUCCCCACUGAAUGGCCAGAGCAAGCGCUGUCCAAACCCAUAAGGGACCCGAAAGACCACAGUUCACCAGCCCACCUCUCCCUCCACCUUCUCGUUGGGCCUCCUUCUCUGGAAACUUCUUUGGGCCCUUCCAGACGUUCUCGGUAGAACAAGUGACACCAGGAACUCACUGAUAUUUGGAAGCCUGGUGGCUGCCUGGGACAAGCCAUCACUGUGUCAACCAGAGAGAUCCUUAUGUGUUACCAGUGUGAAAGCUUCUCGGAGCCAAGGGCUCAGUGGACUCAAUGGGAGCUCCUCUUAGCGGCAUAUGUCCCUGGGAGAAGGGAGUCAGGGGUCAGCUGUGGGAGGAGAGGCUUCACCC